AUGCACGCUGGCGGCGUGCCUAAUCCAUGCAAGUCGAGCGAACAGACGAGGAGCUUGCUCCUCUGACGUUAGCGGCGGACGGGUGAGUAACACGUGGAUAACCUACCUAUAAGACUGGGAUAACUUCGGGAAACCGGAGCUAAUACCGGAUAAUAUAUUGAACCGCAUGGUUCAAUAGUGAAAGACGGUUUUGCUGUCACUUAUAGAUGGAUCCGCGCCGCAUUAGCUAGUUGGUAAGGUAACGGCUUACCAAGGCAACGAUGCGUAGCCGACCUGAGAGGGUGAUCGGCCACACUGGAACUGAGACACGGUCCAGACUCCUACGGGAGGCAGCAGUAGGGAAUCUUCCGCAAUGGGCGAAAGCCUGACGGAGCAACGCCGCGUGAGUGAUGAAGGUCUUCGGAUCGUAAACUCUGUUAUUAGGGAAGAACAAAUGUGUAAGUAACUAUGCACGUCUUGACGGUACCUAAUCAGAAAGCCACGGCUAACUACGUG
rnacentral:rRNA from 1 species